UGUGUUGAUCAACUAUUUGAGAGUUACUUUAUCCCAGAAACUGAGAGGAGGGGGGAAAAACAAGCAAAAAAGAACCCACAAGAAUUACACGAUGCUGUGAAAUAAAUGAUAUGACAAAAAUAUAAACGAGGUACAAUGGAGGGAGAUGGAAGGGAAACAAAACCAAGAUUGGAGAUACCUUGUGUCAGGGAGAGCUUUCAAAGAUGAAGACAAGCUUGAACUGUGUUGAAGAAAUUCUGGACUAGUAAAAGGAAAGGAGCCAAGGCCUGGCAGGUAACCUUCAGGAGUCUGGCCAUUAGCCUACAGGAUUUGGGGUACCCUGGAAGGAUUUUCAGCGAUCAGAUUGGUCACAGGUGACAUACAAGAAAGGGUAAUGGUCAGGCUGUAGCUAAGGAGACCAGUGAGGAGGCCAUUUCAGUUAGGGGAUGAGAGGCUGAGGCACGGCGGUAACAGUGAGUGGGGGAAAAGGAUUUAAUUCUAUGGAGGAAGAAUCUACAGGACAUAUGAACAGAUUACACAUGCUUGAAUAGGUAGGUCAAGAUCAUUAUCCCCAACUUAAAAGGCAACUGGAACACAGGGAGCUUGAGAGACUAGACAAAGCUGCUAAAUGACAGAAGAAGAUCUGGAAUCCACAUCUUUUUAUUGAUUCAAUGCUAGAGCACUUUCUAUUUUACUACAUAGAUGAAAAGUAAGAGUCCUACUGGCCACCUCCAAGUUUCUACAUGCACUGCCCUCAGGGAAGGUGAGGGUCAUUCAGCACCCAAGCAUUGGUGAGACUCUUUUUUUUUUUUUUUCUUUUUAAAUCUAUACACAAGAUUCAA